rnacentral:lncRNA from 1 species
GCUAUCUUGCCCUAGAAAGGGAACUCGGAGGGGACUCACUGACGAAAGGAGCUCCAGAUGGCGGGGGGCCAACCUGGGGCGACCCCCAGCGCCCACUUUCACCAUCUGGACCCCAGCAAACCUCCCUGUGGCCCUUGGUCCCGUCUUCAGCAGCUCCUUCUGGGGUCCCACACCUUCGGAGCCCGGCCCUGCCCCUGAGUCUCUGGAGAGAGCGAGUCAGCAGUUCGCCGCCGCGGGGCUCCCGUUUGCCUAGCACGCCAGUUUCUGUCCAGUUUCACCCCAAAUCCCCACCUCCCCCCACCCCCGAACCUCACGGCCACCCUGGGAAGGAGGCUUGACUUGUGACAUCCACCCCUCUUCACGGCUGAGGAACUUUGGCCCCGAGCGAGGAAGCGACCGGCCCACGGCCACACGCCCGGAGUGGGUAAAUAUCUACUCAUGGGAUUGCUGGGCUGUAUGGGGAAUUCCUUCAGGAGAAAAGCCAAAUAAAUGUGGAUAUCACCCAGUGUGAUUUUCUUCAUUCAAGAGCUAUAUCUCCUGCAGUUUCUGCCUGCUCUUAGCUGUUCUGCAUUGCCUUCAAAGAAUUGUUUUUUCAAAUUUUGUCUAAGGGGGCAGCAUCUUCUACUAUGUGCAUCUACAUUGGAUGGCAGUGGAGCAACACAGAUUGUUUUCUGACAAAAAUCAGCCAAGUACUAGGAGAGGCAGGACUUUAGAAGUGGAGGAGAUGGAGAAGGAAGCUUAGGUUACUAUGGAGUGUGCAAAAAGGUCCUGUGGAUUUAGAUACCACCACACACAAAUGCUGUUGUUGGAAGGUACCUGCCCAGAUAAGGACUGCAUUUCCUCUAGCAUCCAGAUGGGACCAAAUGACUGCUGGCCAAUAGAAGUGAGUGGAAAGGACUGACUCCAGUUCCAGGUUGGGCCUCCAACUGCUCUGGGCACGUCGAUGGAACAGAACACCACCUCCACCCCAAUACCACCAAUUCAACUUUACAUGAAUUAUAAGCGAGAAAUAACUUGGA